rnacentral:rRNA from 1 species
ACACGACUACAUUAGAUACCCCUGUAGUCCCAGCCUAAACGAUGCGCGUUAGGUGUAUCGGUGACCACGAGUCACCGAGGUGCCGAAGGGAAACCGUGAAACGUGCCGCCUGGGAAGUACGGUCGCAAGGCUGAAACUUAAAGGAAUUGGCGGGGAGCACCACAACGGGUGGAGCUUGCGGUUUAAUUGGAUUCAACGCCGGAAAUCUUACCGGGACCGACAGCAGCAUGAAGGCCAAGCUGAAGACUUUGCCGGAUUAGCUG